rnacentral:rRNA from 1 species
UGGGGAAUAUUGCACAAUGGAGGGAACUCUGAUGCAGCGACGCCGCGUGAACGAAGAAGGCUUUCGAGUCGUAAAGUUCUUUUAUAUGGGAAGAUAAUGACGGUACCAUAAGAAAAAGCCCCGCUAACUACGUGCCCGCAGCCGCGGUAAUACGUAGGGGGCUUGCGUUGUCCGGAAUUACUGGGCGUAAAGGGUUCGCAGGCGGAAAUGCAAGUCAGGUGUAAAAGGCAGUAGCUUAACUACUGUAAGCAUUUGAAACUGCAGAUCUUGAGAAGAGUAGAGGUAAGUGGAAUUUUUAGUGUAGCGGUGAAAUGCGUAGAUAUUAAAAAGAAUACCGGUGGCGAAGGCGACUUACUGGGCUCAUUCUGACGCUGAGGAACGAAAGCGUGGGUAGCAAACAGG